AUUAAUAAUGUGAAACCGAAUUGAAAAUAAAACUGUAUUUUAUUUAAAAAAAUUAAGAUAUUACUUUUUCUUCUUAAACACAAAAUACAUUUAUGGUUAUUUAAACCGUAGAUGAAGUAACACUUGUGUAGGAGGAACUUUCAGCUUGGCACGUCGUAAUUUAACAAAGAGUUUAGAUUUUCCAAGAAGAAAAAUGAUGUAUAAAUGCAUAGCGUGUGAUAUGAUUUUUCAUGACAAACAUUUAUUUCUUUCUCAUCAAGUAAAUCAUACAUUGGAAGAACAUCGAUGCAAAAUCUGCCUACAGGGAUUUUUAAGAGAAACACAUUUAGAAAAACACAUAAAUGACGUCCACCCAAAAACGAAAUCUUAUAUUUGUGAACGAUGCUCUCGAGGUUACAAAACUAAAAAGAUUUUGCUUGCUCAUCUGAAAAUUCAUGCAAAAAAACCGUAUAAAUGUACAAUUUGUCCUGCAGAUUUUGCAACUGAAGAAACACUAUUGCAGCACUACAGGGGACACGAAUUUUUAGUACCUCCCACUCAAUUCUUGAAACAACAAUCGAUGCAAGCUGGUCCUUCUACUCAAAACGUGCAACAACCAUGGAUGCAAGCUGAUCCUUUUACUCAAAACGUGCAGGCAGCAUUGAUGCAAGCUGAUCCUUCUACUCCAAACGUGCAGGCACAAUCGAUGCAAGCUGAUCCUUUUACUCAAAACCUGCAAGAGCCGUGGAUGCAAGAUGAGUUUUUUAUUCAAAACCUGCUGGACACAUGGAUGCCAGCUGAUGCUACUACUUUAAACGUUCAGGCACCAUGGAUGCAAGCUAAUUUUUCUAGUCAAAACGAGCUGGGACUAUCCAUGCAAGUUGAUCAUUCUAGUCAAAACGUGCAACAACCGUGGAUGCAAGCUGAUCCUUCUACCCAAAACGUGGAGGCUUUAUUGAUGCAAGCUGAUCCUUCUACUCCAAACGUGCAGGCAGCAUUGAUGAAAGCUGAUCCUAAUACUCUAAACGUGCAGGCACCAUCGAUUCAAGCUGAUCCAUCUACUCAAAACCUGCAAGAGCCGUGGAUGCAAGAUGAUUUUUUUAUUCAAAACCUGCUGGACACAUGGAUGCCAGCUGAUGCUACUACUCCAAACGUGCAGGCACCAUUGAUGAAAGCUGAUCUUUCUACUCAAAACGUGCAACAACCAUAGAUGCAAGCUGAUCCUUCUACUCAAAAUCUGCAGGAGCCAUGGAUGCAAGCUGAUCCUUUUACUCAAAUCGUACAGGUACCAUGGAUGCAAGCUGAUCCUUCUAGUCAAAACGUGCAGGAACCAUGAAUGCAAGCUGAUCCCUCUACUCCUGACUUUUAAGAACCAUGAAUGCAAUAGAAGCUUUAACUAAAAAACGUGCAAGAACCAUCGAUUCAAGCCGGACGUCACUCAAUAAUUUGGCAUUUGAUGCACAAUGAACGGUAAAGAUCAACAAUGUGUAAAUAGCUCCGAAUAGAAGAAAACAGUAAAAGAAAAAUGUUGGAAUAAUUGUAACUUCUGCUUUAGUUGUCGAUUGUAACAGUGUCUUUAUUGAUUUUUAUCCACGGAAAAUCUCUGUACGUUAAGACUAUAGCACUAGAAGUUUGCAACUCAGGACUACAGAUAAAUAUGUACAGUAUUUUACAAUUGUUUGUUUUACUUUUCUUCAAUUAGUAAACUUAAAUUUUGGUGCAUUAUGGAACGCGAUCAACCUUCUGUUAUUAUCACCUGUUACAUAAAAUGUUAUUUUCCGUAUGCCAUGUCCAUUACGAAAUGUGAGAUGAUGUCUAAAAUGUACAGUAUAUGCAAUUUCGACCAACUCUUUUUUCAAAUUUUAUUUAAAUUUACUAAUAUACAAAGACGUAAUAUCAGAAAGUUCAUUUUACAUUUAAAAAAUAUAUAUAUAUAUAUAUUUAAAAUAUAGUAAAACGUAGCAAUAGGUGCGUUUUGUGUUCAUUUCAUAACAGCUAAAAAUUACGGGGGAAGAAUAAAAU
rnacentral:misc_RNA from 1 species